UGCCCUUUCUGAGUGGUUGUAUCAACGAGGGUGCUCACACUCUGCACCCAGAGGUUUGCAAUAAGUCUGGGUCCCACACAGAGCAGCAUGUGGUGGCUCUGGACUUCCUCGUGGAAGAGUUAUUUUUCAGAGAUCUGAGAAAUCUUAAUCUGAGGGGCAGAGGGAACCUCAAAUGCCUAGCCACAGCCUUGUUAACAACUGGCCAUCUCUGGACAUUGUUCUGGAUAUAUCUCACUGAAGAGCUAAGGUGAUAAAGUUCUUGGUUUAAUAGAAUUGUAAAUAAAACAUUACUAGCUCCUGUAGAACAUUGUCCUCGGAUUCAUCCUAUGCUCUUGCAAACCAAGACAUCCAGUGCUGAUCAGGAAUUUAAGAAAUUAUAAUAUCGAGAGGAAUUGUUUUCACAUAAUGGUCACACACAGAAAUGACAUCAAGAGCCAAAAUUUGUCAAAAUUAGUUUGGUCUGGUGAAUUGUGGAUUAGCAAGCAGAGCAACUGGAGAGGCACACACACCACCUUCUGUGGUGGUGAAAAGGGAGGAAUCCUGGACCCUCUUGCCAAAUAGCGGUUGUCCAAGGAACAAAGGAAAAAAAAAUACUUAUUUUCUAAACAGAAUAAAACUCAUUAUAACUUGUAAUUUGCUACAUGGCACCGUUGGGCUUUAAAAAAAUCCAGGACACAUGAUGGAAUCUCUAUGAUCUUAUUUUUCCUCUCUCUUGAACAUUUCUAUUUCAUGAAUUCAGGAAUUACUUCAUUAUGACUCAUCAAUUAUUCCCAACAAUGCUAAAAAUGAGUAAAAUGAUAAGAAAAUAGAAUAAUGAUGGAGUUGCCUGGAAGGAUGAUGCAAUUGCAAAAUAAACCUCCAUUCUCACCAUCAUUCAGUUUUCCUAUUUUUUGACUAAAAUGUUGCAUCGUCAUUCAAGAAUGCAUAAAAGAAGUCUGGAAACAUUCUUAUGAUCUACUUCUAGUUUCAUUGAGCACAGUUUAGAAUUUAGAAGUUCUAUGUUUCAUCCAUAACUGCAAAAAGAAGAAAACGGACAAAGGAAGAUGUUUAGGUUAUUAGAUGAAUCAGAACAAAUGUAAAAAAGAGAGCUAAGUAUGCUAAACUUAAAUGAUUAGGGUGAAAUUGAAAUUAAUUGUUCAAAUGAAAUCUCAGACAAUGGAUUUUCAGAUGACAAUGAAUUUUCUCAAACUCAAGAAUCCAUGAGGGAACAAUUCAUUUCCAAGGACAAAAAUGAAAUAGGAUAUUCUCAUGCAGUUAGUCCUUCAACCAGAAGGACUUUACCAUGAAAUAUUUUGUGGCAAGAACCUAACCUAUCUCAUUUUGUUUUAAGGGUAUAUUAUAAUACUUUUUCAUUUUUUAUAAAGUCUGUGUGCCAAAAUUUAUAGUUUUUAAGUACACAAAUGUUAAAGAAAGGUUAAGGCCAGUAUCAGAAUGAAAUCAAUUAUGUAUAAAUAAAAAAAAAAAAACUCAUUGGAUUCAUCAUUCUAAAUAAUGUUUAAGAAUCUAAAAAUAAAAAUGUCUUGUAGUUAUGGAAUGGAGAUGACAUUGUCUUUUAACGAAAUUACGUGCCUCAAAGAUUUGAAAAAGUUGACUGUUGCAUUUUGAUAACACAAAUUCUAAAUGAACCAGAAGUGAUACUAUGCUAGAACCUAUUAAAGAUGUGUUUGAAAUCUAGAAUUAGUAUCAAUUAGAUGUAUAUAUUGCAGGUUUAUUCAUGAUAUUGAUGGGCAGUUAGUUCCUUUCUGAAGAUGUUUCCAAUCUGGAGUAUAUACAUCUUCAAAAUCAUAAAAUUGAUGAAAUAAACUUUUGGUUUUGCUAUGUUUAAGUUCUUAUCACAAUUUUCAGCCCUUUACUCUUACUUCUGUAAACCAUUUUUUAAAUGAUUUAAAAUAUUAAAAAACACUAAGAGGUCCAAAUGGUAAGUAAAGAUAACUAUUGUUCCUAGUAUACUGAGAUGAGCAUUUACAUUUUCUAAACCUCUAUUGCAUACUUAUCCAUUUAUCCUUAGUUAUAAAGUUAUAUAUGCCAUGUCUUAUCUCUUUUCUGGACUAGCAGCUUGCAGAGGGGAUUCAACAGAUGUUUAUUGCGUUAACAUCAAAACUCCCAGAACUUUUAUUUUGUGAAAAUAAUGAGAUGUUUGGAAUUAAAGUGAGUAUGUUUUCAUGGAGCAGUAUUUUUUGGAGGAAAGUAAAGUAAGGCUGAAUCUUACCUAGUCUUCUACAUUAUAGCCAAUUGAGCUCUGAAAUACAUUAGAUUAAACCAUUAAAUAACAGUGACUAUAAUGCAAUUACAUUUGACCUCUUCUCAGCAGGAUCAAACCAAAAAUGCACAACUGAAGUUCAAGAAAAGGAUCUUAAUAAAAUGAGAGUACUCUUAUUCCUUGAGGCUCUAUUUCUAGCUGUGGACCUAAAAACCCAUAGAAUUGGAAUACAGACUGCCAAAGAAUACCUUAUUAUACUCAGAGAAGAUUUUGAUAGGUAGCUACCUUCAAUUUUAAGAGAGUAAAUGACACAGAAAGGGGAAUAAAUUACCUUAACAUAAAUUCUUGGUUCAAGUAAGUCAGGUAGUAGUUGGAUUUUAAUGGUGGGAUAACUUCUAAGGGAUAAACAUUAACUUGUAUUGAACUUUAAUCAUAAUGGCUUUUUGAUUAUGAUUUUUUUUCAUACAGAGAUGAAAAGCUGAAAAAAAAGUGUUAAAAUGAUGAAGCAAAAGCAUACAAGGCCUAGUUCUUGUACUGGACAUUUAAAUUGAUUUCCUUAUCUACAAUAAAUAUAAAGAGAUGAACACCUUCUAAGAAUCACACAUGCUGGCCAUUUCUCCCCUCCUCAAGGAGCAGUGAUGGAUGUUAUUCAGCUGCUACCUUGUCAUGUUGCCUGUGGAGUGGCAGCAGAGAGAAAAUGCAUUCUGGGUGCAGAAUGUCAACAGAAAGGAAAUUUUAAAAAAUCUCUUAUGAGCAUGGGGCAUGUGUGGUCUGGUACUCUAUGGUUGAUUCCCAUUAGCUAUACUCUCUCUGCCUGCCACAAAUAUGUAGACAGUUGUUAAAAAGAAGAAAAUGAAGGAGGAGGAUGAAAAGGAGAAUGAAAAGGAAGAAUGAGAAUAGCAGUCAGGAGGUUUGAGUUUUUUUUUCCCUCUCCACACUUCUGCCACAGACAGAAAAGCAAAGACUGAUCAUGCCAGCCCUUCUUACCCUUUUUAAACAGAUUAAGAUUGUUCCAUAGAAACUAGAUUAUGUGGUACAUAAGGGUGUGUAGAAGUGUAUGGUAGGCUGGUACAUACCUAUGCAACUUAUUCCCAGUGCUUUAAGUGGAAAUAUAUAAAAUUAAAAGUAACUUCAUGUGAAUGUAUUUGCAUGUUUACUAUAUAAUUUAAAAACUGCCAAUAAAUGUGUCUGCUCCAUGUAAAAAUCUGUUUCCAGUGAAAGACUUGUAGGCCUUUGAUUUACAAAAAACAAAAACAAAAACAAAAAAACAACAAACUAUUUAGAAAUCUAUUUGAAAAGAACUCGAAUUCAUUAAGACUAACUUACACUAAGCAAAUAAAUAAUCCCUUCCCCACAGAAGGGAUCCCCACUAAAUCAUCAAUACAAGAGUCUCAAAAUGAAAGCCACCUCACAAAUAGAUUAUUUAAAAAAUGCUGCAUCUUUGUGUAUCGUGUUCAGUUGAAACCAUAAUGUGAUAAGUUUUUUAUGAAUAAAUGUUCUUAAAUCUUUGCUUAAUUAAAACAAAUAAUGUAUUUAUGUGUCUGGCCAGCUAUCAGAAGUAUAGUUUUGAUUAUUUACUUAAUGAUACAAUUAUUUAAUUGAUGCUAGCUGUCUUAAUGGGGAGUCUUACUUUAGCAAAUGCAUUUACUUAGCUGAUAAAAUCACAUUUGUGUUUUUGUUUCUGACUCUAAGUGAUAUUCGAAUGUCCUUUUAAUAGAUAAAUAGCUCUUUACGUGGAAAUUAAAACAGUAGAUUGAAAAUGAAAAUGGUAUUAGAAUGUUAUCUUUAGUAAUUCUGAUUACUGAUAAGAAUAAAAUACAAUAUAUGUGACCUGGAAAAUAAACCUUAUUUUAAAAUGCUCUAGUGAUGUGUCUAGAGCAUCAAUAAAAUAUGCCACCCCCCCCCAAGAAAAACCAAGGAUACUAAAAAUGGACAUCAAAAAGUUUAUUCAUGUUCCAAGUUGCUAGAUAAAUAUUUUAAUACUCUUAUAUAUAACUGGCAUGAAUUUUUACAUACUGUGUUUAUGGACAAAAAAUAAAAAUAUACUUGGUAUGUUUCAGCUGA